UAGAAGUUAAAUCUGAGGUAGAAAAGGUGGGUAAAACUACUUAGUAAUUAUGAUUGCACCAUCCAAUAUCAUUUGGGGAAGGUAAAUAUUGUUGCAGAUACCCUUAGCCAAAAAUCAUUUGGCAAUUUAGCUCACGUUUCAGUGUGAAGACAACCACUUUUGAAGGAAUUUGACCAGUCGUUGAGUGAAGAGUUGCAGUUAGAAUUAUCAGCCAGAGGAACUUGGAUAGCACACAUGAAAGUGACAACAGUAUAUUUGAGACAAAUGGUAGAGAAACAACAUGAAGACCCAUAGUUGGUGAAGAUAACUAAAGCAAUACAAAAGGGUAAAACCAGUGAAUUUAGGUUUGAUAGUAAAGGGAUUCUGAGGUAUGGUACUAGGUUGCGUUUGUCAAAUGAUAUCG
rnacentral:misc_RNA from 1 species